UUUGAAAAAAGGAAAUGAUUAUUGUAGUGUUGCCUAGGGAUUCAUGGUAUCCUCCUCUGCUUCCUGGGCGCACUUAGAAGCCGUUGUAUAGACGCCGGAUUUGGGGUACAACGGUAGUAAGAUAGAAACCGCGGUAUAGACGCUCCAUAUGAGGGUACCGUUCGGGAAUAGACACUAUGAUAGAAACCGUGAUAGGACGCUCCAUAAGAGGAUAUCGUCGGGAUUAAGUUGUUUUGAUAUUUUGUAAGGGGUUUUAUUGUGUAUUAAGGGUUGGUUAAAUAAAAUGGAUUGUAAAAAUGAA